rnacentral:rRNA from 1 species
GAUGAAUGCUGGCGGCGUGCCUAACACAUGCAAGUCGAGCGGCAGCGCGAGUAGUUUACUACUUGGCGGCGAGCGGCGGACGGCUGAGUAACGCGUGGGAACAUGCCCCAAAGUGAGGAAUAACUGCCCGAAAGGGUAGCUAAUGCCGCAUAUGAUCUUCGGAUUAAAGGAUUUAUCCGCUUUGGGAGUGGCCUGCGUACGAUUAGAUAGUUGGUGAGGUAAAGGCUCACCAAGUCUACGAUCGUUAACUGGUCUGAGAGAAUGAUCAGUCAGACUGGAACUGAGACACGGUCCAGACUCCUACGGGAGGCAGCAGUGAGGAAUCUUCCACAAUGGGCGAAAGCCUGAUGGAGCAACGCCGCGUGCAGGAUGAAGGCCUUCGGGUCGUAAACUAGCUUUUAUAAGUUGAAGAAUAAUGACGGUAACUUAAUUGAAUAAAGACACCGGCGUAACUAACGUGUCCAGCAGCCGCGGUAAACUAGUAGUCGU